AGUGGGGAAUAUUGGACAAUGGGGGAAACCCUGAUCCAGCGACGCCGCGUGAACGAAGAAGUCCUUCGGGAUGUAAAGUUCUUUUAAAUGGGAAGGAGACAGUGACGGUACCAAUUGAAUAAGCCCCGGCUUACUACGUGCCAGCAGCCGCGGUAAGACGUAGGGAGCAAGCGUUACCCGGAAUCACUGGGCGUAAAGGGAGCGUAGGCGGUUAUGCAGGUCAUACGUUAAAGGAUCCGGCUCAACCGGAGAGAUGCAUAUGAAACCGUAUAACUUGAGGAUAUCAGAGGAAAAGGGAAUUACCAUUGUAGGGGUGAAAUCCGUAGAGAGUGGUAAGAAUGCCGGUGGCGAAGGCGCUUUUCCGGGGUAUACCUGACGCUGAGGCUCGAAAGCCAGGGGAGCGAACCGGAUUAGAUACCCGGGUAGUCCUGGCCGUAAACGAUGUUCACUAGGUGUAGGAUGUCGACAGGCAAACUGUGCUGAAGCUAACGCGAUAAGUGAACCGCCUGGGGAGUACGUCCGCAAGGAUG
rnacentral:rRNA from 1 species